AGCGCACCCAAACUCCUAGCGCACAGGUGAUCUGUGCGGGUUCAGCUAGUAAUGUAUUAUUUUCUGGAGGGAUUAUAGUCAUGAGUAUGGUUUUACUAGAUGUGGAGGUUUUAUUUAAUCUGUAUACUCUGCUUUUUCUUGUUUUGUAAAAACUGAAAAAAGUUAAUCAUACCAAGGAAAGGGCCACGUUUGUGUGUGGCAGGAACUCAAAUUGUUCAUGGAUAUUGUUCAAAGAGAUUUGAACACAGAUUCAGCAUUGCUUUGCUGGUCUUCCAGCUGCUGCAUUUCAGCUGAAAAUCUGCUCUUCAGAACUACUCUGGAUUGCCUGUGCAGCCUCUUGGGCCUACUUACUCAGACAUAAGUAGGGGGGAAACCUGUCAAUUUCCUUUAAGUAAAUGACUCUUGGCUCAAGGCAAUCUAAAAGGUCAAGAUAUUUGAUACAAACAACCGGGGGACAAUUCUGAAAUGAAGCUAAGAAGUUUUCAGUAUAUCAUCAGGACAAAAAUAGCUAGGUUGUGGGCCAAUUCUGGCCCUGUCAUGACAAGAAAUGUUCUGUUAUUGGCCUGCUGCCACAGUGGGUGCCACUUGUACAGCACAGGGAGGGCUAAAGAAAAGGCAGAUUCAUGUAUCUAUUAUUUGGCAUUCUAUAGGCUUUUGAGAGAGAGAGAGAGAUUCUUUUUUGGAGGGGAAGGGGGCACAAUUCUCCAUUGCUGAAUUAAUGGUUUGAAGGAAGUUUCCUAAAAGGCAGCAUUGGCUGCCUGGUUGUAGAGAAAUGGUAAUAGCCCAGCUGGAGGAAUAUUCUGGAACUAAGAGGUACGUUCAAGAGUAGUGAAGAAUGCUAAACCAAAUUGUGAGACUUCUCAUAAUCUUCCAUAAAAAAUACAGGUGACAGCCUGAGAAGUAAUAUAAUUUCUAAGUUAUACCCUAAAGAUAAAAUGUAACUCUUCUGUCACAAAACCAUGGAUAUGUUAAAGAAAACCAGAGCUCUUUCAAACCUGUUGGCUUCAAAGAAUCCUAAAUGUAUUUAUUUCAUUUUAGCCAAAAUGGGAGAAACUCUAUUAUUGUCAGAGGAUUUAGAAAUGAUACUAGAUUUCAACUUUCAUCUAACCCCUAAGACCACACUUCCUUGCAGCCUGAUAUGACUGUCACCCUUUCUCUUUCUGCUCCAUCACUCCUCAUGCUAUGGAAAUUUAACAAUUCGCUUUCUCUUCCCCAGGUCUAUCACAUCAAUUCAAUUUUAUUAUUACAGCCUUCAGCCAACCAGGAAGAAAAACAAUAGGAAGAACAUACAGAGAGGCUAAACUGACUGACAAUUGAAAAAAGUGUACAAUUUCUAGUACAUUAUAAUUCUUGGUUUUCUGUUAAAAAUGAACAGCUUGAAUCCUGGGAUGCUUCCACAGAACUUCCAUGAUGUGCACUGAUGCCUUCUCAAACAGCUCCACUCUGGCUGGCUAGCAGAAUAAACUGGCAUUUCAUGUGUAACAUCUAGUUACCUUUGCACAAGGUAAUCCUGUGGAACUGUUCAGCCAUGUUGCCUCUUAUGCAGCUAGGAUUGCCCCGAUCCAUUUAAGACGUGCAUGUGUAGAAAGUCAUGCCAGAAAAUCCACAAAGCAGAAGUCUUAUAAGGAGAUGUCACCUGCAGGGCUUCAUUUCACAACAGCAUCUUCCUUGCAUCACGAUAACAACAGAUCAACGUCUGUAGUGCAGCUGUGCUAAGCUUGGCGCAGAACCAAAGAGGACAGGCCAGGCUCAGCUUUCAUAUCCUGCACAAAGUGCAGCUGAACUGACUUAUCUGGGUUCACAGCAGUGGGACCUGGUUUCCCCAGCCUGAAAUAAGAUGGGGAGCUGAAGCUGGUGUGCUGCAGAUGAUCACAUGUUUGUUGGAAGUAGCUGAGUGGAGCCUGAAGUACCCACUUGGCUAGAUCUCCCAACGAGGCCCUGGAAUCCACCCCAGCCUGCCUUGCACCACCUUGCAGUCACUGGUCAUGAUUGCCCACGAGGAGGAAUCACCUGCAAUGAACCAGAGGCUCAUGAGGAGCAGACCAUCAGGCAUCUCAGUGGGAGGAGCAGCACUUGGUUUGGCAAGCCAAUUUCAAAUCUUGAUUACACAUCUCUGUCUGAGGCCCCAAGCGUGGGUUCAAACAGUCACAGACAAGUCAGUUACCAACUUUGCCAGUAGGUUCCACAUGGUGUGUAAACCCAUUCUUAUGAUGUUGCAGUGGUCUGUGUCAUGUACUUGAUACUCAAAAAACCAAAAGCUUUCCCUCUUGUGCCAAGAAUUAAAUAGUUGCUUACCAGUAAUGAUAGUGUGAAGUGGAAAGGGAUAUCCUGCAUGAAAAUUUGUGCAACCCAAUUUCCUUAACGAUAAACAUUACCACCCAAGUGAUUUUUUUUUCAAAAGUGUGUUUUAUAGAAUUUCAGUUCCUCUCCACUGAUUUCAGCCCAAGUCACUCUUACUUCCCCCAGCCCUCAGGAUUUGCUUUUUAAACAGAGUGGUCAAGCCCAACUACAGUACAAAGGGUUUACUUGGUAUAGAAACCAAGACUUGCAAUAGCAUUAGCAGCUUUUUCCAAAGGAAAAGGUUCAUUCAUACAGUAAGAUCAGGGUAUUUGUCAGCCCCGCUUUCCCCGGCUAUUCACAUACAUCCUUCACUUAUUUUCUCACCAUAUCACAGGAGCAACCUUUUACCAUCUUGCAGUCUCCUUACUUCUUGGAUUAUUCUUUCUUCACAGGUUAAAUUAAACCCAACUCUGUCAAAAUCACCACCUCUUCAAAUAAAGGCACAUGCAGUGUAAUCCAUUACUCAGAAGCAAGUCUCACUGCAUUCAAUGGGACAUAGUCACCAGUAUAUGUGCUUAAGAUUGGAACCUCAGUCAUACAGACACUACAGAGCUGCAUAACACACACAAGCUUCACAACCACACUGGAUAUCAUUGCAAGUAUCCACAAUUUCUGUCAGCCACUUACCUAAGCUUGCAAUACUUGCGGCACAAAUUGUAUUUGUCUUAGUACACAAGUCAUAACAAAAACUCUAAAGUAAGAAAGCAAAAUAAUAAUUAUUAGCAAGUGGGACUUUUUUCUCUGAAUAUAAAACCAAUGAAUGAAUUUUCAAUUCACAGUAGGUAUUGUACAACUUAGUCACAUUUCCCCAUCCCCAAAGUACCAGUGCUAAACUAGAAACCAGAGAUACAACUGUGCAUUGGUAUUGGCAAAAACCCCUAGAUAUAGAAUUCCACCUAUGUUGUUCAUGUAACAUGUUGGGAAAAUAUGUUCCUAAACUGCAUCUUCUUGAAGAAUUAUCCAAUUUUGGUUGUAACAAUUUAAAUCCUUUUAGCAGGAUUACUUUAAAUUUCCAUUUAAAUAUUUAAAUAGAACUUGCAGGGUCCUUAAUAAGCUUUUAUUUUGGGGAAACAAACCAGUAUUCUUUAGCAUUUUCUUUUGUUUUUCCUAUUUCAAGCUUUACAAGCCUAGACAUGCAGUCCAUAUGAAAUCAAAACCCUAUAAUUAUUACUGCUUUAUCAGCAUCCUUAUUAAUGUUCAUUAAAAAUAAUCUUGUCUA